GAUGGACGCUGGCGGCGUGCCUAAUACAUGCAAGUCGAGCGAAUGGAUUAAGAGCUUGCUCUUAUGAAGUUAGCGGCGGGCGGGUGAGUAACACGUGGGUAACCUGCCCAUAAGACUGGGAUAACUCCGGGAAACCGGGGCUAAUACCGGAUAACAUUUUGAACCGCAUGGUUCGAAAUUGAAAGGCGGCUUCGGCUGUCACUUAUGGAUGGACCCGCGUCGCAUUAGCUGGUUGGUGAGGUAACGGCUCACCAAGGCAACGAUGCGUAGCCGGCCUGAGAGGGUGACCGGCCACACUGGGACUGAGACACGGCCCAGACUCCUACGGGAGGCAGCAGUGGGGAAUCUUGCGCAAUGGGCGAAAGCCUGACGCAGCAACGCCGCGUGAGGGAAGAAGGCCUUCGGGUUGUAAACCUCUUUCAGUAGGGACGAAGCUUCCGGGGUUAAUAGCCUACGGGGUGACGGUACCUACAGAAGAAGCCCCGGCUAACUACGUGCCAGCCGCCGCAGUAA
rnacentral:rRNA from 1 species